GACGAACGCUGGCGGCGUGCCUAAUACAUGCAAGUCGAGCGGACAGAUGGGAGCUUGCUCCCUGAAGUCAGCGGCGGACGGGUGAGUAACACGUGGGCAACCUGCCUGUAAGACUGGGAUAACUUCGGGAAACCGGAGCUAAUACCGGAUACGUUCUUUUCUCGCAUGAGAGAAGGUGGAAAGAUGGUUUCGGCUAUCACUUACAGAUGGGCCCGCGGCGCAUUAGCUAGUUGGUGAGGUAAUGGCUCACCAAGGCGACGAUGCGUAGCCGACCUGAGAGGGUGAUCGGCCACACUGGGACUGAGACACGGCCCAGACUCCUACAGGAGGCAGCAGUAGGGAAUCUUCCGCAAUGGACGAAAGUCUGACGGAGCAACGCCGCGUGAACGAUGAAGGCCUUCGGGUCGUAAAGUUCUGUUGUUAGGGAAGAACAAGUACCAGAGUAACUGCUGGUACCUUGACGGUACCUAACCAGAAAGCCACGGCUAACUACGUGCCAGCCGCCGCUGUAAAAC
rnacentral:rRNA from 1 species